rnacentral:rRNA from 1 species
AGUGAACGCUGGCGGUAGGCCUAACACAUGCAAGUCGAACGGCAGCACAGUAAGAGCUUGCUCUUACGGGUGGCGAGUGGCGGACGGGUGAGGAAUACAUCGGAAUCUACUUUUUCGUGGGGGAUAACGUAGGGAAACUUACGCUAAUACCGCAUACUACCUACGGGUGAAAGCAGGGGAUCUUCGGACCUUGCGCGAUUGAAUGAGCCGAUGUCGGAUUAGCUAGUUGGCGGGGUAAAGGCCACCAAGGCGACGAUCCGUAGCCGGUCUGAGAGGAUGAUCCGCCACACUGGAACUGAGACACGGUCCAGACUCCUACGGGAGGCAGCAGUGGGGAAUAUUGGACAAUGGGCGCAAGCCUGAUCCAGCCAUACCGCGUGAGUGAAGAAGGCCUUCGGGUUGUAAAGCCCUUUUGUUGGGAAAGAAAAGCAGCAGGUUAAAACCCCGCUGUUCUGACGGUACCCAAAGAAAAAGCACCGGCUAACUUCGUG